rnacentral:lncRNA from 1 species
GAGAGAGAGAGAGAGAGAGAGAGAGAUUGUGUAUUGGAAUAGUUUAUAGUUUGGAUUUAGAUUAUCCAAGGAAAUCUCACCCCUUUCUUUCCCUCUUUUUCCAUCUAUCUCUCCUUCCUUUUUUUUCUUUCCUUUCGAUUUACAGGGUUGGAUUGCAUACAAGCACUGAAUAUUUAUUGCUUAUUUGUCAUUGUGUGGAAGGAAAGAGGGAGUGUGAGAGGGUCAGACUGUAUACAUGUACUAAGUGUUUGUUUCUUGUCUGUUGUCAUGUAGAGGUAGAAGGAAAGAGGGAGUUUGAGAGGGUCAGACUGGAUACAUGUACUAAGUGUUUGUUUCUUGUCUGUUGUCAUGUAGAGGUGGAAGGAGGGAAGGAGGGAGGGAAGAGUGCUCUCCUUUGUGUAAUCAAAUAUAUAGUCGAUCUUUUCUUGGUGAGAGAGUUGUAGAAAAAUCUCGAAAAAGAAGCUAGAAUAAUUAUUCUUAAAAUUGAAAGUUU